rnacentral:rRNA from 1 species
UACGGAGGAUGCGAGCGUUAUCCGGAUUUAUUGGGUUUAAAGGGUGCGUAGGCGGGACCUUAAGUCAGCGGUAAAAUUGCGGUGCUCAACGCCGUAGAGCCGUUGAAACUGGCAGUCUCGAGUUGGAGAGAAGUAUGCGGAAUGCGCGGUGUAGCGGUGAAAUGCAUAGAUAUCGCGCAGAACUCCGAUUGCGAAGGCAGCCUUCCGGCGCCCUACUGACGCUGAGGCACGAAAGUGCGGGGAUCGAACAGG